rnacentral:rRNA from 1 species
CAGCCGCCGCGGUAAAACGUAAGUGGCAAGCGUUGUCCGGAAUUAUUGGGCGUAAAGCGCGCGCAGGCGGAUAGGUCAGUCUGUCUUAAAAGUUCGGGGCUUAACCCCGUGAUGGGAUGGAAACUGCCAAUCUAGAGUAUCGGAGAGGAAAGUGGAAUUCCUAGUGUAGCGGUGAAAUGCGUAGAUAUUAGGAAGAACACCAGUGGCGAAGGCGACUUUCUGGACGAAAACUGACGCUGAGGCGCGAAAGCCAGGGGAGCGUACGGGAUUAGAGACCCCAGUAGUCCCUGUCUCUUAUACA